rnacentral:rRNA from 1 species
CACGUAGGGGGCGAGCGUUGUCCGGAUUUAUUGGGCGUAAAGAGCGUGUAGGCGGUUUGGUAGGUCCGCUGUGAAAACUCGAGGCUCAACCUCGAGACGCCGGUGGAAACCAUCAGACUAGAGUCCGGAAGAGGAGAGUGGAAUUCCUGGUGUAGCGGUGAAAUGCGCAGAUAUCAGGAAGAACACCCGUGGCUAAGGCGGCUCUCUAGUACGGUACUGACGCUGAGACGCGAAAGCGUGGGGAGCGAACAGG